CGGAGGAUCCAAGCGUUAUCCGGAUUUAUUGGGUUUAAAGGGUGCGUAGGCGGUUCUUUAAGUCAGGGGUGAAAGACGGUAGCUUAACUAUCGCAGUGCCUUUGAUACUGAAGAACUUGAAUACACUUGAGGUAGGCGGAAUGUGACAAGUAGCGGUGAAAUGCAUAGAUAUGUCACAGAACACCAAUUGCGAAGGCAGCUUACUAAAGUGUCAUUGACGCUGAGGCACGAAAGCGUGGGGAUCAAACAGGAUUAGAUACCCUGGUAGUCCACGCCCUAAACGAUGAAUACUCGAUGUUGGCGAUAUACGGUCAGCGUCUAAGCGAAAGCGUUAAGUAUUCCACCUGGGGAGUACGCCCGCAAGGGUG
rnacentral:rRNA from 1 species